rnacentral:rRNA from 1 species
UAGGGAAUCUUCCACAAUGGACGCAAGUCUGAUGGAGCAACGCCGCGUGAGUGAAGAAGGCUUUCGGGUCGUAAAACUCUGUUGUUGGAGAAGAAUGGUCGGCAGAGUAACUGUUGUCGGCGUGACGGUAUCCAACCAGAAAGCCACGGCUAACUACGUGCCAGCAGCCGCGGUAAUACGUAGGUGGCAAGCGUUAUCCGGAUUUAUUGGGCGUAAAGCGAGCGCAGGCGGUUUUUUAAGUCUGAUGUGAAAGCCCUCGGCUUAACCGAGGAAGCGCAUCGGAAACUGGGAAACUUGAGUGCAGAAGAGGACAGUGGAACUCCAUGUGUAGCGGUGAAAUGCGUAGAUAUAUGGAAGAACACCAGUGGCGAAGGCGGCUGUCUGGUCUGUAACUGACGCUGAGGCUCGAAAGCAUGGGUAGCGAACAGGAUUAGAUACCCUGGUAGUCCAUGCCGUAAACGAUGAAUGCUAGGUGUUGGAGGGUUUCCGC